AGAACAAUUAUUCCUUCAAGGUCCUGUGCAGGCAUUUCCAACAGUGGCUACUAGGCAGGCUCAUCAUAGCCUAAGCUCAAUUACAGCCCAGACUGUUGUAUUUCUAUGUAACAGAGAAAGGCAGGAAUUUGGUAUCUCCCCUCAUGUGAAUUUUAUUUAUUUAUUUAUUUAUUUAUUUAUUUAUUUAUUUAUUUAUUUUUCAGAAUGGAACAGCCUCACAUAUAAGUAACUGCUGGAACAGCAGAAAGCAUGGUUUCUUCUAAACUGAGGAUCGUAUUUAGAGCACCCCAAAUCAAGACACAGUGUCUUACAGAAUACCAGAAAAUGGAAGUGUCUUCAUUAAAUAGCCCCUAAGUAAUUUAAUUUCAUGUGUAAGCGCUAUUUUUUUAAAGGGUUCAAAGGAAGCCAGAUCCCUGUGUAGAAAUACGUAGUCCUGUUGCUCGCAUACUUGUCACAGUCUUGUGCUUUAUAGCCCUAGAUGCUGUACCCCCGUCGGGGAAUCUUUAAAAGUGUGGCUCCUGGCACAGCUGCAUCAGAAUCACGUGUGUUGAUGACUAAAGAUUCCCGGGCCCCAAGAGUCUGGAGGUGUGGGACUGGGGAUCUGACUUUUUAGGCAGUUGACCUGCUUCUUCUGCUCACGACUGUCUGAGAACAGCCGCCCUCUGCUCUUUCUGGAAAGGCAACAGUAGUUAUAAGAGUGCUACACCACAGCUCUCCACUGGAGAGACUUCUCAUUUCUUCCCAGCCGAGGUCCCCCUCGGNCCUGCUGCUUUUAACUCCUGGCUCCCCACCUGCUAUCUGCCUGCAGCUCUGCUCUCUCUCUCACACAGCGGGGACCAGCUGGGGGCUCCUGGGGGCUCCAGCCCCUCCACUCCAGGGCCAGGUUUUGGUCCUGCGUUCGCAUUUUUACAAGCACACCCUCUUUUUCUCGCAGAGGGCAACCAUUUCAAAUCUCACAUUAAAACAAAAAAUCACUACCACUAAACUACACCAAAGCAGGUUGUAAGCAGUUUUUUUACUCACUGAUUCAGACAACAAAAAGGGUGGUUGCUGUGACCGUGGCCUUUCUUGCCUUUUCCUGCUUAAAGAGAAACACCGUUGAGCUAACAUGCCAAUUUUACUUUUGUUAUUAAAAAAAAAAAAAAAAAAAAAAGAGGGGCGCCUGGGUGGCGCAGUCAGUUAAGCGUCCGACUUCAGCCAGGUCACGAUCUCACGGUCCGUGAGUUUGAGCCCCGCGUCGGGCUCUGGGCUGAUGGCUCAGAGCCUGGAGCCUGUUUCCGAUUCUGUGUCUCCCUCUCUCUCUGCCCCUCGCCCGUUCAUGCUCUGUCUCUCUCUGUCCCAAAAAUAAAUAAACGUUGAAGAAAAAAAAAAAAAGAAAGUUCUGUCUUAUUAACAAAAUUAAACUACCUUUGUUCUUGGAGUUUUAUUCUUACAGCAUUUACAGAAAUCUGUUGAGAGCGUCUUACUCAGUUAUCAGGUUUAUCAAUUGGUUAUCAUCGCAGAUCAAUUUGCUUUGUAAUAAAUUUAUAAUUGAGAAACCUGAUUGGAUUUUAGCUCCAAAAACUAAUUAAGGGUACUUGGAUUUUGGAUCUCCGCCCAUAUCUCAUGUGGUUCACUAAAAAUAGACCCAAAUCUAGGAGUUAGGAUUUCUGGACCAGCUUCCACUGAUUACCUAGGUCUUGAUAUUUAUGGAACUAGUCAUUUCCCAAAUAUUUCAGCUCCACUCUUCCAGUCUUCAGAAGAAAAAAGACAAUAACAAUAACAAUGAUAGAAUCUCAUCCCCUACAGAGAAUUAGCAGGGAAAUGAGAGAGGGAAAAAAGUAAAUGGAAAUGCUCGAAUCGGGGGAAAUGUAAUAAAAAGCCAAAUGUGAAUCGGAAUAGCAGUUGGCAAGAGGGGGAAAGGUGGAUAGAGGACAAUUGUAUCACUAGGGAACAUGUAAACUGAACAGCACGGAGCCUUUUAAGAAAUGUUUUAAGUCGGUUUCGAUAGUAGAUAAGACAAGAAUAUUGACACAUUACAGAAAGGGACAUGCCAAGACUAGGAACACAUUUUAAUGAAAAUGGAAAUGGGUUACCUCCCAUUAUCACAUCAGAGGCCACAAAACUACAGGAAGCAGAUUGUUCACUAGAAGGAUAUUCUUCACAGCCUCUUUAAAGAUGAAAUACACAUACUUCAUUCUAUAUUAAAUUUCAAACACAAAAAUAAAUUAGAGUGAAAUUCGUUUCUAUACUCACAACCUGACACCCUUAGAAAUCUGAAACUUACGCCAACCUAGAGCAAAAAGCAAAAGUGGGAAAUUGUAGCAUAAGAAAAGACCAUGAGGAAAGAAGAUCCAAUCGAGUCCACAGAAGGACAGAGAGACUUCUGGUGUAUAUAUGGCAACACAGAUUAAUCCAUAGUCUAUGUAAAUCACCAUCUGUAAGUGGAGACCCCGGUCUAGUUGACUUGGUGAUAGAAGUUCUUUUCACUGGCAGCAGCUUUUUUCUCCCCCCAGAAGUUUCAUCUCUUUCUUUUCUAGUUACAGAGUGAAACGGAAGCCUGCUAGCAGAACACAUCCAUCCACAUGACUCUGACAUAGUAGCCCGCAUUUCCCACGUUAUACCACAUGCCUUUACGAGAGUUAUUUUUCAUUGCAUUCUGGAGACAAAAGACCCUUGGUGAUAAUCAGUAAAGAUCCUAACACGGUGGCAGGCAGUCUAACAGGUGACUUGCCGUUCCGCCUCCUAUAACCCACAGGGUAGUUCCAACAAAACACUUGGCAGCAUUUGGGAGAGACCCUGUGGGCAUAUCUUUUUCUCUUUUCCUUUGCAUUUCAUUGCCUGUUGUCACUUACUGAAUGCGUGGUGCAAGACGAAGACGGCUGCUGCUGCUGCCAACAGGGAAGAUGUCGGGUCUUGAGCCCAGAUCCCCAAUUUAUAUCACAGUACACUCGUCUACUGUGAUCACAGCUUUGCUGCCUGGGGGCAGGGGUGGGGUGGGGAAAGAAGUGUUUGCCCAGGAGGAAGUGGCUGUUGCAACCAUGUGGAUGUAACCUGGGGCCAUUAGGAAUAUAUCCAUCUGUCAAGCCCGCCGAAGGAAGGAGGGUGAAUCAAGGUAGCAGUUGGAACAGAUGUUCGAAUUGCCAAGUCUUCUCGGCGGUGUAAUAUAGACCUGGACGGUGUUGGCAUUGAGUGGAAGAGUGGGGCUUUGUCUUGGCAGCCUUUUCUGUUGUGGCUCCUUGCAGGGGUGUGAAUAGCAUGGGUUUUAUUUAUUUUUUUUAAGGGAAUUUAGCAAUCUGUGGAAUUUCUCCAGUAUCGAGCACUUUGAUAACAGCUCAUCUACAAAGGGAGCGUUCCAUUGUUUUGUUGUGUAAGAAAGCCGAGCGGGCAUCGGUGUAUUAUUUUGCUCUCUUUCAGGGAUACUCCCUCCCUAGAGAUUCAUUUUUAGGAGUCACGCUUUCUCUCUCACUCCCUGUCUGUCUCGUGUGAGGGAAGCUUUGCAAUAUGUUUCUGUGAGACUUCUCAAAAGUGAUAAAUGAGAUUCUCAAUCUUCUCAUUCAAAUGGUAACUGCCUGAAAAGCCAAGAAGUAGAGUGCGGGGGUGGAGCUGAAGGUGACAGAUUGAUGAAGAUAAGGAGAGAUGCAUUUGGAAAGGGAGGGAGGAGCAAACCCAGUAAGAGUUGUAAAAACUAGAAAAGCAGUUCUAAAUUGGAUUUGGAAAUGGCAGAAUGACAAAGUGAAGUUUUCUAUGGGGAGCAAGUUGCUAGGCUGCCACAUUUGAGGCAGCCUGGAGAUUUUGAAAAGUGAGAAUUCAGAAAA
rnacentral:lncRNA from 1 species